rnacentral:misc_RNA from 1 species
AAAGAGGAAGAGCGCAGCAGAGA